AAUAUUGGCCAUUGGGGGAAACACUGAUCCAACCAUGCCGCGCGUGUGAAGAAGGUCUNAGGAUUNUNAAGCAAUUUAAGUUGGGNGAAGGGGCUUUAGGCUAAUACCCUGAAGUUUUGACGUUACCAACAGAAUAAGCACCUGAUAACUCUGUGCCAGCAGCCGCGGUAAUACAGAGGGUGCAAGCGUUAAUCGGAAUUACUGGGCUUAAAGCGCGCGUAGGUUGUUCAGUAAGAUGUUAGUGGAAUCCCCUGGAUUAACCUGUGAACUGCUUUCAUAACUGCUGAGCUAGAGGACGGUAGAGGGUAGUGGAAUUUCCUGUGUGGCGGUGAAAUGCGUAGGUAUUGGGAGGAACACCAGUGGCGAAGGCGACUACCUGGACUGGUACUGACGCUGAGGUGCGAAAGCGUGGGGAGCAAAC
rnacentral:rRNA from 1 species